UAAAACCUGUCCUUUCUAAGCGAGAGAGAUCUCUUCUGGAAGAGUGCAAUGUUCUCUUUGUUCCCCGUGUGGAAAAACACAAUGUAGGUGCUCAGGCAUGCACUGAGAGGCAGAUCUCCAGAGCUGCCCCGAAUCUCAUUAGAGGACUUUCCAAAGUUUAUUAUGAUUGGACAGCCUUGUGAAAAGAAAGCAAGGGCCCUAAGAGUGCAGGGUAAGCCUGAGGGUGUGUGUAUAUGUGUGUGUGGGAACAGAAUUAGUCCCAUUCCCAUACAGGAAGCAGAUGUUUUGCUGUGGCCAAGUAACUCUGGGAAAUCCACCGAGACAGGUCUUAAAUGUUGUAACUCUUCAUUAACUCAGUGCAGCGUUAAUGGGAUUCUGUACACGGGGCCAAUGUAGUUUCUCUUCCCUUUUCCAAAUAAAUGCAUAUAAGUGCACUUUUCUGUGCUUUUGAGUAUCUUUAAAGAGGCGCCCAUAAAGGCGACCAGCAGGGGGAGGCUUUGAAAACAAAUCUGCUCAUUGCGUAGCGAGAUUGGGCCCUCGGCAGGGAGCGAGGCACAGCGCUGGACACAAUACACAGCCUGAAGAGACUUCCUGUGGGGUGAGGGAUGAAAAAUAAGAAACUAACUUGAUAAAUAAAGAUGAAAAGCUGGCUUGUUUUAACUGCUUGGCAAUGGGGAAGAAAUGGGGGAAGAAAUGAGGUUUUUCGGUGUAGCUGGCUGACCCGCGUGGGGUUUGGCUCAUAGAUUAACAUCACAGAUGCUUGAUGGUAUGACGUUGAAAAAUCAGAUGUAUUUAUUCGCAGGAUUCUAACUAUAGAGGGAGUGCGGGGUAAGAUGAGCCACCCUUGUAUAAAAAAAAGUGACUCUUUUUUUAUUACCUACACAUACGUGACCAUAUGUGUAGGUAUAGUGAUCUUCAUAACAUAUAUUAUAUAUAAUAUAUUAUACCUGGCUGACCCGCGUGGGGGUUUGGCUCAUAGAUUAACAUCACAGAUGCUUGAUGGUAUGACGUUGAAAAUCAGAUGUAUUUUAUUCGCAGGAUUCUAACUAUAGAGGGAGUGCGGGGUAAGAUGAGCCAACCCUUGUAUAAAAAAAGUGCUCUUUUUUUUAUACCUACACAUACGUGACCAUAUGUGUAGGUAUAGUGAUCUUCAUAACAUAUAUUAUAUAUAAUAUAUUAUACUUUCCAACAUAUAAAAUCUAUAUAUUUAUUUGAUUACUUUGUUAUUGUAAAUUGCAGGACCUUUAUAUUGGCUUGAGAGAAACAAAGUGAAGGCCAAAUAUAAAAAUAUAUAUAUUUUAUGAAUGAUCCAUUUUUAAAAAUAACAAUACAAUUUUAAUUUCAGUUUCAUUUUUUUUUUAAAAAAAUGCUAGAUUGUAUCCAGGAUCAUUGGAAAAACAUGCCUGUUGUGACAUCUGCAAAAUAAUUUUCUUGCAUGUUUUGCAACACAUUCAAAGUGCACACAUAAGUUUUUAUUAAUUGAUAAUCUGCCCGUCUUCAUAAUUUGUGUGAAAAGGAAUACAAGUUGUGUUUUACUGCUUAUAGUGUUCAUUUCAGUUUGAACGUGCAGUGAAUUGUAUGUAAAAGUGGCUAUAUUCCAAUAUGGCAAUGUAUUUUACUUCUCAUUUUCAUAGAUCAUUUCUUACAUUUAUUCACAAGGAAAUUAGCUUACAUUCUUACCCCGAAUAACACACAGUGACAUACAUAUUGUCCUUCCUUCAAUAAACAUUACAGUUUUCUAUUCCUUAAUAACAGUUUUGCUUUGACAACAAGUGGCAAUGUUGUGUAUGCAACUCUGAACAGACAAAUAUAGUUAAAAAGCUGCAACUCAUCCCUAAAGGUCUGACAGUUAGAGUGUCUGCUAUUAUUUAACAACAUCCCUGUUACCACGAUCACUGCAUGUGUAUGUUUGGUAAAGGGUUGCCUUUCUCUUAGGUUCACUUGUUUUCUUUGGCGUAACUAGACACCUUUUCCCUCCAGGACUGUUUUUCAGUAAACUAGCCCCUAUCUGCUGCACAGAUGUACUCACUGUGAUAACCACACACUCUUUUUUAUUCAGUUAAUACAUAGACUAUACUAAUUUUAUCAUAUGAAGUGUGGUUAUAUUUUAUUCUUACACAUAAGGUUUCUGAUAAAAAAGUAUACACACAUACAUAUAUUAACUGAGCAGAGAGCAGUGUGUAUAGUUUACUUUGUAGGUUGUCUUAAGUGCAGAUUGUUUUGGUUUGUCUGCAUCACCUGUUCCUGGUUUAGCGUCAGGAUGAUGGAAAGGUCCCACACUAAAAGGAUAAACAUGACUGAACGUUAAAACAGGAGUGUGUCCUUUUUUGUUCCUCUAGUGGCACCAAACUGAACUGCAAAUUAAAUUAUGGUUUCCUGAUCUCUCCUUUUCUUCUCUAUUGGCUGGUUGAUUCAGUGUUACUGUGUCUGGCUCAUCUGAAUACUCAAAGAGAUUGUUUUAGAAAUUAACAACGUAUAGAACAUAUUAUUUACACUAUAUCAGGUAAAUUAAAUACUGCAUAUCUGUCUCUGUAAAUAAAUAACAGUGUCAAGGUCCAGGAAAGGUAUGAAAGUCGUCAUCAGAAUACUCCAUCUGCCAUCAGACGUGCAAUCUGGGUUAUAUGAAGCGACAGGAAGACUUUUUGUAAGUGAAGAAAACAAAAAUAAUGACUUUUCAACAAUUGCUUUGUCCGCAGACUCCUCUGUGUCUCUCCAUAACACCGUAUGCUGUUCUGUAUCAUCCGCGCCACAAGGAUGCGCUGUUUCUACAUGUAUUUAGCUUUGAUUUGAAAUAAAACAGCGCAUCCUUGUGGCGCGGAUGAUAUCGCUUCAUAUAACCCAGAUUGCUCGUCUGAUGGCAGAUGGAGUAUUCUGACGACGACUUUCAUUCCUUUUCUGGACCUUGACACUGUUAUUUACUUGACAGUCUAUGGGACAGUCUCAAGCCUCCAGGUUUCAUCCAAAAUAUCUUAAAUUGUGUUCCCAAGACGAGCUAGAAGACUUUAAGGGUUGG
rnacentral:lncRNA from 1 species